ACAUCCCACGAUGUUUUGUGCUGUGCUCACCACCCUCUGUAGUAUCUUUCUAUCUGUGGCUUUCAAGCCAACAUACCACACCAUCAUGCAAUAUGUGAGGAUGCUUUCUAUUGUAGACCGGUAAAAGGAGGUAAUCAGUCGUUGUUCCAUUUUAUU